GGAUGUGAGGGCGAUCUGGCUGUGACAAUUGUCACCCCAUUGAUCUCCAGGGUUGAUUCGGCUGAUCUGGCUGGCUAGGCGGGUGUCCCCUUCCUCCCUUAGGGCUCCAUGUGCAUCCCUUCCUAAGCUGUGCGCUAGGUCAAAGAGGAAGGCCUUCCCUGAAUACAGAUGGACCGGUCUUUGGUCGAGGGUAUAGAAGUAGCUGUGCUCCCCUGCUAGAACCUCCAAACAAGCCCUCAAGUAUCGGAAAGCUAUUGGGGGAGGGGAUGGGCUACGAUGUUCUGGUGGUGGGAACUGUGUAGAGUUGUACCCCUCUUAUC
rnacentral:snRNA from 1 species